rnacentral:hammerhead_ribozyme from 1 species
AUCCAUAUGACGAGUUUCAAAUAGGACGAAAUGCGCAUUUUGGGU